rnacentral:rRNA from 1 species
UCGAGCGAGUCUGCCUUGAAGAUCGGAGUGCUUGCACUCUGUGAAACAAGAUACAGGCUAGCGGCGGACGGGUGAGUAACACGUGGGUAACCUGCCCAAGAGAUCGGGAUAACACCUGGAAACAGAUGCUAAUACCGGAUAACAACAGAUGAUGCCUAUCAACUGUUUAAAAGAUGGUUCUGCUAUCACUCUUGGAUGGACCUGCGGUGCAUUAGCUAGUUGGUAGGGUAACGGCCUACCAAGGCGAUGAUGCAUAGCCGAGUUGAGAGACUGAUCGGCCACAUUGGGACUGAGACACGGCCCAAACUCCUACGGGAGGCAGCAGUAGGGAAUCUUCCACAAUGGACGCAAGUCUGAUGGAGCAACGCCGCGUGAGUGAAGAAGGGUUUCGGCUCGUAAAGCUCUGUUGUUGGUGAAGAAGGACAGGGGUAGUAACUGACCUUUGUUUGACGGUAAUCAAUUAGAAAGUCACGGCUAACUACGUGCCAGCAGCCGCGGUAAUACGUAGGUGGCAAGCGUUGUCCGGAUUUAUUGGGCGUAAAGCGAGUGCAGGCGGCUCGAUAAGUCUGAUGUGAAAGCCUUCGGCUCAACCGGAGAAUUGCAUCAGAAACUGUCGAGCUUGAGUACAGAAGAGGAGAGUGGAACUCCAUGUGUAGCGGUGAAAUGCGUAGAUAUAUGGAAGAACACCGGUGGCGAANGCGGCUCUCUGGUCUGUUACUNNNGCUGAGGCUCGAAAGCAUGGGUAGCGA